AUUGAACGCUGGCGGCAUGCUUUACACAUGCAAGUCGAACGGUAACAGGCCGCAAGGUGCUGACGAGUGGCGAACGGGGGAGUAAUGCAUCGGAACGUGCCCAGUCGUGGGGGAUAACGCAGCGAAAGCUGUGCUAAUACCGCAUACGAUCUAUGGAUGAAAGCGGGGGACCGUAAGGCCUCGCGCGAUUGGAACGGCCGAUGUCAGAUUAGGUAGUUGGUGGGGUAAAGGCCCACCAAGGCAACGAUCUGUAGCUGGUCUGAGAGGACGACCAGCCACACUGGGACUGAGAGACGGCCCAGAGUCCUACGGGAGGCAGCAGUGGGGAAUUUUGGACAAUGGGCGCAAGCCUGAGCCAGCAAUGCCGCGUGCAGGAAGAAGGCCUUCGGGUUGUAAACUGCUUUUGUACGGAACGAAAAGGUCUGGGUUAAUACCCUGGGCCGAUGACGGUACCGUAAGAAUAAGCACCGGCUAACUACGUGCCAGCCGCCGCCGUAAGAC
rnacentral:rRNA from 1 species